GAGUGCGAUCAUACCAGCGUUAAUGCACCGGAUCCCAUCAGGACUCCGCAGUUAAGUGCGCUUGGGCUAGAGUCGUACUGGGAUGGGUGACCUCCGUGGAAGUCCUAGUGUUGCACCCUG
rnacentral:rRNA from 1 species